rnacentral:rRNA from 1 species
UACAGAGGGUGCAAGCGUUAAUCGGAGUUACUGGGCGUAAAGGGCGCGUAGGUUGUUUUGUAAGUUAGUUGUGAAAGCCCUGGGCUUAACCUGGGAAUUGCAACUAAGACUGUGAGACUAGGGUACUGUAGAGGGUAGUGGAAUUUCCGGUGUAGCGGUGAAAUGCGUAGAGAUCGGAAGGAACACCAGUGGCGAAGGCGGCUACCUGGACAGAUACUGACACUGAGGCGCGAGAGCGUGGGGAGCGAACAGG